rnacentral:rRNA from 1 species
GACGAACGCUGGCGGCGUGCUUAACACAUGCAAGUCGAACGGAAAGGCCCUGCUUUUGUGGGGUGCUCGAGUGGCGAACGGGUGAGUAACACGUGAGUAACCUGCCCUUGACUUUGGGAUAACUUCAGGAAACUGGGGCUAAUACCGGAUAGGAGCUCCUGCUGCAUGGUGGGGGUUGGAAAGUUUCGGCGGUUGGGGAUGGACUCGCGGCUUAUCAGCUUGUUGGUGGGGUAGUGGCUUACCAAGGCUUUGACGGGUAGCCGGCCUGAGAGGGUGACCGGCAAAAUUGGGACUGAGAUACGGCCCAGACUCCUACGGGAGGCAGCAGUGGGGAAUAGGGCACAAGGGGCGGAAGCCGGAGGCAGCAACGCCGCGGGCGGGAUGACGGCCUUCGGGGUGUAAACCGCUUUCGCCUGUGACGAAGCGUGAGUGACGGUAAUGGGUAAAGAAGCACCGGCUAACUACGUG